CACGUAGGGUGCGAGCGUUGUCCGGAAUUAUUGGGCGUAAAGAGCUCGUAGGCGGUGUGUCGCGUCGGCCGUGAAAACUUGCAGCUUAACUGUGGGCGUGCGGUCGAUACGGGCAUCACUGGAGUUCGGCAGGGGAGACUGGAAUUCCUGGUGUAGCGGUGAAAUGCGCAGAUAUCAGGAAGAACACCCGUGGCUAAGGCGGUUCUCUAGUACGGUACUGACGCUGAGACGCGAAAGCGUGGGGAGCGAACAGG
rnacentral:rRNA from 1 species